ensembl:lncRNA
GUUCCCCACCACAAACUCCAGAUCCCGAUCCCGCGACUCCUCCGUUAUUCCGGGUCCUCCUCGCGCUCGGCCCCGGGACGGGGGCGGGAGGGAAAACCGGGAAUUCCCGCGGAUUUUUGGGAAUGUCGGGGCGGCCGGAGCCGGCUCCUGGCGCUCCCGGCGUUCCCGGCUCUGGGAGGGCGGCGGCCGCGGUGGUGACGGCGACGGUGACAGUGAGGAUGGGCAACGAUGGCCACGGUGACGAUGACCAACGAUGGGCAACCAUGGUGAGGAUGAGGAUGAUGAUGAGGAUGACCAUGACCAACGAUGGCCACUGUGAGGAUGACCAACCAUGACCAACCAUGGUGAGGAUGAGGAUGAGGAUGAUGACCAUGACCAGCCAUGGUGAGGAUGAGGAUGGCCAACGAUGACCAACCAUGGUGAGGAUGACGAUGGCCAACGAUGGCGAUGAUGAUGAUGACCAACGAUGACAGUGACCGAUGAUGGUGACGACGAUGAUGACCAAUGAUGACCAACCAUGGUGAUGAUGAUGAUGAUGAUGAUGAUGAUGAUGACCAUAACCAGCCAUGGUGAGGAUGAGGAUGGCCAACGAUGGCCACGGUGACGAUGACCAACGAUGGUGACAGUGAGGAUGAUGAUGGCCAAUGGUGAGGAUGACGAUGACCAUGGCCAAUGAUGACCAUGACCAGCGAUGGUGAGGAUGAUGAUGACCAUGACCAACAAUGACAAUGACCAACGAUGGUGAGGAUGAUGAUGACAUCAAUGACAAUACCAGUGAUGGUGAUGACAUCACCAAUGGCAAAACCAAUGACAUCACCAAUGAUGACAACACUGAUGAUGACCCCAAUGACAUCACAAAUGAUGAUGACAUCACCAAUUAUGAUAAUGACACCGAUGACAUCACCGACGACAACGAAGACGAGGCAGAUGACAUCACCAGUGACUAUGACAUCACCCAUGACAUCACCAACGACAAUGACACCAGUGACAUCACCAAUGAUGACGAUGACGACGCCGAUGAUGUCACCAAUGACAUCACCGAUGAUGAUGCCGAUGACGUCACCGCCGCCGCCGCACCGCCGGGCCAGGCCCCUCCCCCAUCCCGUGCAUGUUUAUUGAACUCAUUCCCGCCCUUUUCUCCCCAAAAUCCGCCCCCGAUCCGAAGGCUCCGCUUGACUCAAGCCCUUCGUUAAUUAAUUAACCCCGAACCCAUUAAUUAACAGCAAACCUCAGGCAGCUCCCGGGGUUUCCCUUCCCGGUGUCCGUCCGGAUUAUCCCGGGAAUUUCCCAGCGCCGUCGCUUGGACUUCCAGAAAAAAAUAUCCUCCGGAUUUUUGGGGUGAAUUCCCGGGAAAAAUCAGGAGAAAAUCACCGGAAUUCCGUUCUCCCGCCCUGCCGGGGCCGCGGGGUUUCACUUUGGGGUGAGAAAAGUCGGAUUUGGGACGGUUUUGGGGGGUUUUUUUUCCGAGAUUUUUCGGUUUUGUCGUUUUUGCUUCCGUUGGGUGGGAAAAGAAGAAAAAAAAAACAGGAAAAAUCCUGAAAAUCCCAAAAAUCCCAGCUUGGAUCCGUGCAAAAAUUCCCCAAAAAAUAAAAAAUAGCUGUAAAGCCCCGGCUCUUCUCCU